rnacentral:rRNA from 1 species
UACGGGGGGGGCAAGCGUUGUUCGGAAUUACUGGGCGUAAAGGGCCUCGUAGGACGGCCAACUAAGUCAGGCGUGAAAUCCCCAGGCUCAACCUGGGAACUGCCUUUGAUACUGCAAAUCUCGAGUCCGGAAGAGGUGAGUGGAAUUCCUAGUGUAGAGGUGAAAUUCGUAGAUAUUAGGAAGAACACCAGUGGCGAAGGCGGCUCACUGGUCCGGUACUGACGCUGAGGUGCGAAAGCGUGGGGAGCAAACAGG